AAUUUUCUUUUCAUUUUCCCCCCUUCUCUUUCACUCUCUUCACUCUCCCUCUCCUCUCUCUACCAUCCCACCACCCGACUGCCCCACCCCCUCCUUAGACGGUCAACGCCGCAGCCACUGCCGUUUCGGACCAGCAAGCGUCGCCACUAGACGCCGCCGCUGUUUCCGACCAUCGUUCCAUAUUUUGAAGAUCAUGGUGUUAGAUUUACUCCGGUCAAAAAGUUAUUGAUGCUUUGAUCUUGUGCUAACAUGUUUCAUGGAAGUAACCCUUUUAUAUCAUCAAAUGAGUGAAUAAUUUUAAAUUUUGAUGCUGCUAUGAAGAUAGCAUUGAAAAUUAAGGCUGAAACCUCAGGUCAGUAAGCUUCCAAAUAUUUCUGAAUACCUGUAAUGGCACAAUAUUAGUCCAUAGACUUCCAUCUCACUAUUUAUGCAUGUGAAUCUCAAAGUACCAGCCAUUUCUUUUAAUUUGAGAAAUGUGCACUACAUUUUUCUAGUUCUUGAUUAGAUGAUUCUCUUUGGAGGUUGGCACCUGAGAUGAAGUUGGCCGAUGAGACUGUUGAGAUAAUACUUGAUAAGGUAAUUUACUGAUGACGACCAAUUUAAGUUUCCAUCAUCCCAGUACUUAAAAUUGACAUUUUUGGAAGCAGACUCAAAUCAGGACGGAAAGAUUGACAAAUCUGAAUGGCACAAUUUUGUGGGCCGAAAUCCUUCAUUAUUAAAGAUAAUGACUCUUUCGUAUCUAAGGAGUAUGAAGCUAUGAAGCAUCAAGUUGCUCAGCUAACAAGAACACUUAAUUCCUCGGAGGCUAGGAUGUUGGGUAUGCAAGCCCAAAUUAAUAGUUUAUGAUGGAUAUGUUUAAAUGGAUAUGUAUAUUAUCUUUAAGGGUUUGAAUGUAGUUUUAGUUCGAAUUAGAAGUACUUUUAAGUUUAUAAUGUUUAAGUGUUUGAAUGAUGUUUAUGAUGUUUAAGUGUUUGAAUGUAGUUUAUGAUGUUUAAGUGUUUGAAUGUAGUUUUAAUUUUAAGUA